rnacentral:misc_RNA from 1 species
UCCGGUUUGUCACCGGCGGUCCCCUUAGAGUGCUCAACUGAAUGGGGGCAACUAAGGGCAAGGGUUGCGCUCGUUGCGGGACUUAACCCAACAUCUCACGACACGAGCUGACGACAGCCAUGCAGCACCUGUGUCUAGGUUCCCUUGCGGGCACACCCGCAUCUCUGCAGGCUUCCUAGCAUGUCAAGACCAGGUAAGGUGGGGAUGACGUGAGGAUAG